ensembl:snRNA U6 U6 spliceosomal RNA
GUAUUAUCAUCUUAGCAACACAUAUAUAAAAAGUUGGGAUGACACAGAGAUUAGCGUGACUCUCGUGCAAGGAUGGUAUGUAAAUUCAUGACGUGUUCCAUAUAUGU